CAUUCCCUGUGGUGUUCGUAUCGGCCCGUAAUCCCCUUGAGCGUAUGACUUACCCAGGGAUGUUUCGCGCGGUGCAGGCGUGCAUGCCCGCUCCCGCGGGAAGCCCGAAACACCGCCGUCGCGUCCCACUUGAACCUUCGGUUCAAGGGUAAGGAUUCGAUACGGCACACGCGGGGAAUGC
rnacentral:other from 1 species